rnacentral:rRNA from 1 species
UACAGAGGGUGCGAGCGUUAAUCGGAAUUACUGGGCGUAAAGCGCGCGUAGGCGGCUUUGCAAGUCGGGUGUGAAAUCCCCAGGCUUAACCUGGAGACGCCACCUGAUACUGCUGUGGCUAGAGUCCGGUAGGGGAGCAUGGAAUUCCUGGUGUAGCGGUGAAAUGCGCAGAUAUCAGGAGGAACACCGGUGGCGAAGGCGGAUCUCUGGGCCUUACCUGACGCUGAGGCGCGAAAGCUAGGGGAGCGAACAGG